UACGGGGGGGGCAAGCGUUGUUCGGAAUUACUGGGCGUAAAGGGGUCGUAGGUGGCCAACUAAGGCAGACGUGAAAUCCCUCAGCUUAACUGGGGAACUGCGUCUGAUACUGGUUGGCUUGAGUGCAGGAGAGGAAUGCGGAAUUCCUGGUGUAGCGGUGGAAUGCGCAGAUAUCAGGAGGAACACCGAUGGCAAAGGCAGAUCUCUGGGCCGUAACUGACGCUGAGGAGCGAAAGCGUGGGGAGCGAACAGG
rnacentral:rRNA from 1 species